CCUACGGGUGGCAGCAGUGAGGAAUAUUGGUCAAUGGACGCAAGUCUGAACCAGCCAUGCCGCGUGCAGGAUGACGGCUCUAUGAGUUGUAAACUGCUUUUGUACGAGGGUAAACCCCGAUACGUGUAUCGUGUUGAACGUAUCGUACGAAUAAGGAUCGGCUAACUCCGUGCCAGCAGCCGCGGUAAUACGGAGGAUCCGGGCGUUAUCCGGAUUUAUUGGGUUUAAAGGGUGCGUAGGCGGUUUGAUAAGUUAGAGGGGAAAUGUCGGGGCUCAACCCCGAAACUGCCUCUAAUACUGUUGGACUAGAGAAUAGUUGCGGUAGGCGGAAUGUAUGGUGUAGCGGUGAAAUGCUUAGAGAUCAUACAGAACACCGAUUGCGAAGGCAGCGUACCAAACUAUAUCUGACGUUGAGGCACGAAAGCGUGGGUAGCAAACAGGAUUAGAUACCCGGGUAGUC
rnacentral:rRNA from 1 species